GUGCUCACUUUGGCAGCACAUAUACUAAAAUUGGACCCAUACAGAGAUUAGCAUAGCCCCGCUGCACAAGGUGGACAUGCAAAUUUGUGAAGCAUUUCAUAUUUUA
rnacentral:snRNA from 1 species